rnacentral:lncRNA from 1 species
GGUAGGAGUGGCAACAAAUGCUGGGCUCAAAACACAGGGAUUUCUUUUUCUUUUAGACGUAUCUGGAAGAAUAGGAGAAUCGAAGAGAGACGAUAAGACGGUGAUAGUGGAGGAGGAUGAUGUCGACUCUAACUACCUGCACGUCCCCAGGUUCACAGAUUUAGAGCAGGAAGGAACCUUAAAGGCCAUAUAAUGUGGUAACUGGAAUUAUGAACUGAACCCCAAAAAUUGUUAAGGUGGGUAUGUGUUUUGACUAUACAGCAAAGGAUGAAAGAAUAAAAAUUUUCCAUUCUUUUAAAAAUAUUUAUUU